rnacentral:rRNA from 1 species
GAUGGACGCUGGCGGCGUGCCUAAUACAUGCCAGUCGAGCGAACGGACGAGAAGCUUGCUUCUCUGAUGUUAGCGGCGGACGGGUGAGUAACACGUGGAUAACCCACCUAUAAGACUGGGAUAACUUCGGGAAACCGGAGCUAAUACCGGACAAUAUUUUGAACCGCAUGGUUCAAAAGUGAAAGACGGUCUUGCUGUCACUUAUAGAUGGAUCCGCGCUGCAUUAGCUAGUUAGUAAGGUAACGGCUUACCAAGGCAACGAUGCAUAGCCGACCGGAGAGAGUGAUAGGCCACACUAGAACUGACACACGGUCCAGACUCCGACGGGAGGCAGCAAUAGGCAAUCUUCCGCAGUGGGCGAAAGCAUGACGGAGCAACGCCGCGUGAGUGAUGAAGGUCUUCGGAUCGUAAAACACUGUUAUUAGGGAAGAACAUAUGUGUAAGUAACUGUGCACAUCUUGACGGUACCUAAUCAGAAAGCCACGGCUAACUACGUG